rnacentral:sRNA from 1 species
GCUGGGUGUGGUGGCGCAUGUCUGUAUUCCCAGUGGCUUGGAGGCUGAAGCAGGAGGACUGGGAAUUCAAAGCCAGCCUCAGCAAAAUGGAGGUGCUAAGCAACUCAGUGAGACCCUGUUUCUA